rnacentral:misc_RNA from 1 species
AACGCACAUUGCGCCCUUGGGUAUUCCUGGGGGCAUGCCUGUUUGAGAACCAUGACGUACCUCACCCAAAACCUCUUUAGUUCAUCGGAGCUCUUGAGGUUGCGGCGUGGACUUGGGCCAUCUCAACGCUCUUUUGCGGUGAGCGGCCUUAAAAGCAGAUGAUCGGGAAAUCAGUGAAACCGUGCUCAAGACGUGAUAAUAUGGUUGCUUUUCGAAGCUUCCGUUUGAACGUCGAGAAUCAUGCCGGGAUUAGCGAGGAGAAGGCCUUUUCGUUUUCUUUUUGAAGAUUUCGCGACUGCAUCAAACGACAUGCCAGGCGGCUUUUGUUCACUCUUUUUGUGAAACACAAAAGUCGAACACCUGAACAACUUGGUCUCAAAUCAGGCAAGAAAACCCGCUGAACUUAA